UGACUGCCACAUUACAAAUUAGCAAACAAAGCCAUUUGUGAGCCUUCAGUGCUUGUCAUUGUUAUUCAUGCAAAUCUGCUGCAAUGUGCCAUUUAGGACAGUCAUUGUUGUAACCCAACUACAUGACAAUGUAUGCAAAUAACCAAGAGCCUGAGAUAGAAAGAAAGAAAGAAGAAGUUAGCAUCGAUUUUUUCCCCGUUGUCCACAUCUGCUGGCAUUGAUAGCAGGAAUAUUUAAAAAUAAAUAAGCCAGUCCUCUCGAUGGAUGAAUGAGAGUCUUGCACCCAGGAAAAAACGGAGAAAAACCUGCAGAAGAAAAGGGAACAUGCAGGAAACCAGUUUUCCUUCUGACUGCCUACAGACCACGACGAAGUUCUACUCUGCUCCUUACCAGGCAUUCCAGGCUUUGCUACUUGCAUCAGUGAUGGCUUGGUGUAGAAAGAAAAGCCAACAAGCUCCAGAGUACUCACCAGAAAUUGUGCCCUACUCAAGUCAGGAUGCAAUACUUGCCUUAGUAAUUUUCUCCCUCUUCUCCUUUCUGCCGAUGUGAAUCUACAAUGUUUGGAGGAUGCAAGCCCUGAGUAUGAACAGUAGGCAACCUCUUGUUUGUGUGAUGAGAACCAUAAUUUUGAGGAACUUGGUAGGUUCUUGAAAAGAACAGAAUGGAAACAGAAUCUCAUUUCCUCUUUCUUUGGCAUCCAUUUUUGGUUACUUAUUAAUUCUAAGGGAAGAGUAACACUGGAGAAAAGCAUUCAACACUCAACACUGGCUUUUCUUCUGUAACUCUGAAGUAAGCGCAAUGGUUAAUUAAUGGCCAGAUCUGUGAAUGUGACUAUACGACUGACAUGCGUAGGAGUAAUGACAUGAGUUUGGAAAACUACUUUCAGAGACAAAUAAAGAGUAUUACAUACAUUGCA
rnacentral:lncRNA from 1 species